rnacentral:lncRNA from 12 species
AUGACAAUGCCAGUGAUGGUGACAAUCACGGUGCUGGUGAUGGUGAUGAGGACAAGGACGGGUGACAAUGACAAUGCCAGUGAUGUGGUGACGAGGACAAGGACGGGUGACAAUGACAACAACAGCAACGGUGGCGAUGGUGGCAAUGUGGUGACAACUUGGAGAGAUCAAGGCCCUGAUUUUGAUGGUGACAGCAGGGGUGACACUGGGGGGGUGGCACUGGUGACACCGGUGACCCCGGUGACGCUGCCACCGCAGUUCCUGUGCCUGAGGAACAUCCGCACCUUCCUGACCGCCUGCGCCGACAAAUUCGGGCUCCCCAAGCACCGGCUCUUCGGCGCCUUCGACCUCUUCGAUGUCCAGGAUUUCGGCAAGGUGGGGUCAGGGGUCCAGGUGUCCUGGCAGGGGUGGGGCCCAGGGGGUCACAUGCCAUCCCGCCCCCCCCCGAUGUCACCUCUCUGUCCCCAGGUGAUCGAGACGCUCUCAACGCUGUCCUGGACGCCGAUCGCUCAGAGCAAAGGAUUCACGCCAUUCCCGUCUGAGGACAGCGUUGGGGACGAUGACAUUUACAGUGGCCUGUCCGACCUCAUCGAGUGAGUGGGGCUACUGGGGCUACUGGGGGCUACUGGGGGCUACUGGGAGCUACUGGGGGCUACUGGGGGUUAUUGGGGGCUACUGAGGCUCCUGGGGCUACUGAG